ACUACGGUGCUGAAGUAACAAAUGCCCUGCUUCCAGGAAAAGCCUCUAAGCAUCAGGUAACAUCAAAUCGUACCCCAAACCGACACAGGUGGUCAGGUAGAGAAUACCAAGGCGCUUGAGAGAACUCGGGUGAAGGAACUAGGCAAAAUGGUGCCGUAACUUCGGGAGAAGGCACGCUGGUGUGUAGGUGAAGUCCCUGCGGAUGGAGCUGAGACCAGUCGAAGAUACCAGCUGGCUGCAACUGUUUAUUAAAAACACAGCACUGUGCAAACACGAAAGUGGACGUAUACGGUGUGACGCCUGCCCGGUGCCGGAAGGUUAAUUGAUGGGGUUAUCCGUAAGGAGAAGCUCUUGAUCGAAGCCCCGGUAAACGGCGGCCGUAACUAUAACGGUCCUAAGGUAGCGAAAUUCCUUGUCGGGUAAGUUCCGACCUGCACGAAUGGCGUAAUGAUGGCCAGGCUGUCUCCACCCGAGACUCAGUGAAAUUGAACUCGCUGUGAAGAUGCAGUGUACCCGCGGCAAGACGGAAAGACCCCGUGAACCUUUACUAUAGCUUGACACUGAACAUUGAGCCUUGAUGUGUAGGAUAGGUGGGAGGCUUUGAAGCGUGGACGCCAGUCUGCGUGGAGCCAACCUUGAAAUACCACCCUUUAAUGUUUGAUGUUCUAACGUUGGCCCCUUAUCGGGGUUGCGGACAGUGUCUGGUGGGUAGUUUGACUGGGGCGGUCUCCUCCCAAAGCGUAACGGAGGAGCACGAAGGUUAGCUAAUCCUGGUCGGACAUCAGGAGGUUAGUGCAAUGGCAUAAGCUAGCUUGACUGCGAGCGUGACGGCGCGAGCAGGUGCGAAAGCAGGUCAUAGUGAUCCGGUGGUUCUGAAUGGAAGGGCCAUCGCUCAACGGAUAAAAGGUACUCCGGGGAUAACAGGCUGAUACCGCCCAAGAGUUCAUAUCGACGGCGGUGUUUGGCACCUCGAUGUCGGCUCAUCACAUCCUGGGGCUGAAGUAGGUCCCAAGGGUAUGGCUGUUCGCCAUUUAAAGUGGUACGCGAGCUGGGUUUAGAACGUCGUGAGACAGUUCGGUCCCUAUCUGCCGUGGGCGCUGGAGAAUUGAGGGGGGCUGCUCCUAGUACGAGAGGACCGGAGUGGACGCAUCACUGGUGUUCGGGUUGUCAUGCCAAUGGCACUGCCCGGUAGCUAAAUGCGGAAGAGAUAAGUGCUGAAAGCAUCUAAGCACGAAACUUGCCCCGAGAUGAGUUCUCCCUGAGACUUUAAGUCUCCUGAAGGAACGUUAAAGACGAUGACGUUGAUAGGCCGGGUGUGUAAGCGCAGCGAUGCGUUGAGCUAACCGGUACUAAUGAACCGUGAGGCUUAACCUU
rnacentral:rRNA from 1 species